ensembl:lncRNA
AUGACCGCACUGGGCCGUUUCUUUCUUUUCCGGACCCAGCAGUGGCGCCUAAAGUCUGCAAGGAGGAAGUCACCUCUAUGCUCAGUUGUGGUCACUGAUAAGGAGGACCCUGAGGGCAACCACACCUUGCCAUGCAGAGCACCUGGCUUCUCACCUGCCAACCUCACUCUGACCUGGCUGCAGGAAGGGAAGGAGCCAACUCUGGACUCAAGAUUCAAGGGGACCAGACCCAGAGAGAUGAGACAUACCAGGGCUGGGCAGCUGUGGGGGUCCUUCCAGAGAGGAGCUGAGAUACACCUACCUGGAGGGGCCCCAGGGCCUGGAGGGGCUCCUCAGUGUGACUGGGUGAGGUGUUUUCAGAGGACCAGGGUUGAGGGUGGGGGCAUCUCAUCCAGACCCUGCCCCCUCUCUGCCCCAGGACCCAAGGCCCCCUUCCUCCCUCCUCAAUGGAGAUGCUGGGGAUGUCCUUAGUCACCCUCUGAGUACUCACACAUCACCCCUUAUUUGGAAGUUUUUCUUGUUCUAACCUCCUUCCUUCCUGCUGCACCUUCUGCCUCAGCCCCAGGCUCUGGCCUCUGUCUCUCCUCUUCUACCCUCUAGCCGGUGACUGAUUUCCCACUGAGGAGCCAGCUCUAGGUGAGAGUCUGGGCUCUCGGUGAGGUUGGGAGAAGGAAAAGGCUUAUGGGCCAGGGGAUGGGAGGGAGAAUGGGCACAGCCAGAGCAGAAGUGAAAGGGUUGGAGGAGGCGAUAAAGACAGAUGUUUCCAUAUCACCAUUUUUCUUUCAUGGUCCAAGGGAGCUGUCCUUCCUCCAGGCCCAGGGAAGUGAAAAAAGAAGCAGGAACAGUGAAAUACGCCACAGGAAAGAAAAAUCUUAGUGAUCCCUCCUGCUGUCUCUCUCCUUUUGUCUAUUCUGGCAAAUUUUGUAAGUGAAAUUUGUUACCAAGAUAUGAAAAUCUUAUUAUAAGAAAGUCUGUAAAUAUUUGAGAAUAAAAUGAUCAAUGUCUCAGCUCUGCAGACUGAAAAAACAGAAGCUUUACAAAAUAAAAUCAUGUUUGGAAAACUCUCCUCUGAGGGAUAUCAAAGGCUGCACUGAAUAAGCUCUAAGGAGGUGCUGAAAUGACAGCCAUUUAUUUGCCUGUGUAAGCUCAGGCAGGUGUUGGAAUUGAGGAAGGAUAGGUAAUGAAAAAAGUAACCAUGUGCUUGGGGCACAGUGAUGGUGAUGACCACAGAAUCAACACAAUAAGCUGUAGCAUUUGCAUCGUAGUCCAGUUCAUUCAAGCAAAGCUAUCUCCAAUAGGGAAUUUACCCUGUACAGAACAUGUGCAUUUUGAUUUCACCUUUUCUAACUGACCCUUUGCUCAUGACAAUAGUGAAAAAAUACAGCCCUGGGUGGAGAUUUAAGAUGCUAACGAGUCAUGAGAUGUAUGAACAUGCAUGUACAGCUACUGCACAUGUGCACCCAGAAGACCACCCAGAACAUGCUUACUAGUAACCCCUCUUCCCACCCACCUCCUAUGAAUAAUCAUGUAAGACUCCCAUAAAGGGAGUUUAUCCAGCAGUAAUCAAUGCUGUCUCAUCCAUAGGAACAGCCUGUCCUGAAUCCUCUCUCUCAGGGUAUACAGUUUAUUUUGCACUUAACUUUCAAAAUAGUAUUUUUCCUUUGUAAUAAAUUGCUUUGUACUUCUCCUUUGCUGCAUGUUUCUUAUUUAAAUUCUUUUAAAUGAAGAAGUCAAGAACCACAGUAUUACAACAGCCGUCAACAUUUCUGGUGCCAUGACUCAGACAGAGGUUUGUCUGCUUCAUUGGUUUCAAUUCCCCUUCACUCCUGGUGAGUCCUGUGGCAGCCCCAGACCCCUGAUUGACUAUCACUGCUUUCCCCAGAUCUAUUCUAUUAAGGUUUUGGGGGAGGACCUUUUAAAUCACUCACAUUAUUUGAGCAACUGAUUGUGAUUGCUUUCCAUUUGGCUGCUGUUUUUGCAAUGUUUACAAUUACCUUAUUUGGAUGGAACACCCUGAUUAUUCAGCCUUUGGACUCUUGCUGCUUCUGUUUCACCUUUUGUUUUACUGUCCCUCCCAGGACUGCACCUGAUCAGUACUUAUUGGCUACUGUAACUUUUUUUUUUUUUUUUUUUUUUGAGACAGAGUCUCACUCUGUCACCCAGGCUGGAGUACAGUGGCUCAAUCUCGGCUCACUGCAACCUCCGCCUCACGGGCUCAAGCAAUUCUCCUGCCUCAGCCUCCCAAGUAGCUGGGAUUACAGGCAUGCGCCACCAUGCCCAGCUAAUUUUUGUAUUUUUAGUAGAGACAGGGUUUCACCAUGUUGGCCCGGCUGGUCUCGAACUCCUGACCUCGUGAUCCGCCUGCCUCGGCCUCCCAAAGUGCUGGGAUUACAGGCGUGAGCCACUGCACCCAGCACUUGUUUGUUAAUCAACUAAUCUCUUCAAAGAUUUUUGUUCACCUUG